CUGCCCUGCAGCUCUUCAAACCUCCUCCUCAAUUAACCCAGAGGUUCCAAACACUGCCUACAUUAACCCAAACACUGCCUAAAUUAACCCAAAGGUUCCAAACACUGCCUACAUUAACCCAAACACUGCCUACAUUAACCCAAAGGUUCCAAACACUGCCUAAAUUAACCCAAACACUGCCUAAAUUAACCCAGAGGUUCCAAACACUGCCUACAUUAACCCAAACACUGCCUAAAUUAACCCAAA